UGUUUUCAACCUUCUGCGUCCACGUUUUUGGCGAUUUUGAUAAAAAAACAUAUACUUACGACUUAAGAUUAGCACCGCAAUUAUUUGAAGAAUUUCAAAAAGUUUACAACAAAAGUUAUACGCCGGAAGAGAAACAAUUGCGUUUCAAAAUAUUUAAAGGAAAUUUGAAAAGGGUGAAUGCGCUCAAUCAGAAUGUUGUCUUAAAAUGGAUAGCUGUUAUUGGACCGUACAAUGAUUUGACAUAUUCGGAGUUUGUGAAAAAGUACGAUUUGCCGGAAUGGAAUGAAGACAAAGAACGAAAGAAUAUUUUACAUUGCAUAUGCCAGAAACUGUAUCUCUUCAAAAGAUUUUCUCAAUACACAAAGAACCUGUAUGAAAAAUAUGGGUCCUGGAAACCCCCGGUCGAAUACGAAACUGAGGAGCUCAAUGACUAUGACUACCACUAUGACCACUAUUAA